rnacentral:lncRNA from 13 species
AUGCCAUCAGAGCCCUGGGUAUCAAGAGCAAAACUAAACAGCCACUUGGGCAGACAUGGAGCUAAUGGCAGGAGCUUUUUUUUCUUUCACACCCCAGGCACAGCUGGAAUGCCUGUGAGACAGAUCCCUUCACUCCCUGGAAGGAGGGCUGAAGACGGCGCCAAGUGGUCUGGCUUGACAUUUUACUGCAGUUUUAUAUUCACACCAAAAUUGAUGGAAAGAUACAGAGAUUUUCCAUAUACCCUGCCCUCACACAGGUAUAGUCUUCCUCUUUAUCAAUAUUCCUCACCAGAGUGGUACACUUAUUACAAUGAAGGAACCUACAUUGAAAAAGCAUAAUUAUACAAAGCCACAGUUUACAUUACUCUUGUUGAUGUACAUUUUAUCGGUCUGGAUAAAAGUGUAAUAACAUGUAUCCAUCAUUAUAGUACCAUAGACUUCCACUACUUUAAAAAUCUUCUGUGUUCUGCGUAUGUGCCCUUUUCCUGCCCUUCCCAAACAUUUGGCAGCCACUGAUCUUUUUUACUGUAUUCAUUGUAUUGCCUUUUCAGAAUGUCAUGUACUUAAAAAUCAUACAGUAAGUAGCCUUUUCAGAUUGGCAUCUUUCACUCGAUAAUAUACAUUUAAGUUUUCUUCAUGUCUUUUAAUGACUUAAUCACUCACUUCCUUUUAGCUCUAAGUAAUAAUGCAUUAUAUGCCUGUAGCACAUUUUAUCUAUUUACCUAUUGGAGGACAUCUCAGUUGCUUCACUAAUUGAUUGAAUUUUUAUAUCCAUGCUUAUGAGGGAGUUUUUUGUUCAUAAUAUUAUUGUUGCAUUGUGGUUCAAGGUAAUGAAAACAAUAUAGAAUUGGUUGGGAUAUAGGUUUUCUUUUUAUUUGGGGGAAGGGGUAAGAAUUGCAGUUAUGUAGAAUAUUAUCAUUUCUUUCUAAAAUGUUUGAUAGAACUCACCAGCCUAUCUGGCUGGACCGGGAGUUCUCCUUGUAGAAAGGUUUUCCUAUGACUCUCUUUUAUAGGUAUAGGGUAAUGCAGGCUAUUUAUUCUUGAUUGAGUUUUUAUAAUUUUCAUUUUCAAGGAAUUUGUGAAUUUUGUCAUGUUUUUUAACGUAAGUUCUAUAAUAUUGCCUUUUGUAGCAUCUGUACAAUCUGCAAUAAUGUCACAUUACUCAUUUCUGAAGUUAGCAAUUUGUAUUUUCUCUUUUUCCUGGGAAGCCUAGCAAGAUAGAGGUUUAUUGCUUUUAUUGAUCUCAAAGUGUUUGGUGUAAUUGACUUCCGCUACUGUUUUAAUGUUUUACUGCUUUUAUUUUUGAUGCCUUGGUCCUUUAGGCCCAUUGUUUUAAAAAAAAAUCAUAGCCUGGGUAGCUUAUAAACAAAUUAAUUUUUCACAGUCUGGACGUUACAAAGUUCAAUAACAACGUGUUGUUAGGUUUUGAUGUGUGUUGAAAAACCACUCCGUGAUACAUAGAUAAAUUAUAUUUUCUUGUGUGCUAACAUGGCAGAAGGGGUGAACAGGCUUUCUGAGGUCUCAUAUAUAUAUUAAUCAAUUCAUAAGGACUUCGUUCCCAUGACCUAAUUACUUUCAAAAACCUUUACCCCCUAAUUACAUCACGUCUGUGACUUGGUUUCAGCAUACAAAUUUUGGAGAGACCCAAACAAUCAGAUCACAGGAGAUAUUUAUUAUUUUCUUUCAUUGAAUCCUUUGGGUUUAAUGUUCUCUUCUUUUUUCUAAUUUCUUAAAAUAGAAGUCAAAGUAAUUGAUUUGAGACUCAUCUAAUAUAGACACUAAGUGCUAAAAAUGUGUUUAAGCAUAUUUGUGGGGACAUUCAACAAUUUCGUUGAAUGUCGUACUUUUAUUUUUAUUCAGUUCAAAGUAUUUUCUAUUUUUUUCAUUACUUAUUUCAUUCGGGGUUAUUUAAACUUGUGUUACUUAGUUUCCAAAUGUUUGAGUACUUCCUAGAGCUGUUUUUGCUAUUAAUUUCUAAUUUGACUGUUUUGUGGUCACAGCGCAUACCUAAACCCUUUUCAUUUAAUUUUUCCAUUGAGAGACAUUAUAUGGCCUAGAAUGUGGUCUGUUUUGCUAAGUGCUCCAUGGGUACUUGCAACACAUGUUGUUGUUCCAUUCUACUCUAUUCUCAUUGAUUUCUGCCUCCUUAUUCUAUCACGUAUUGAGUAAAGGUUAUUGAAACUUCAGGUUACUUUAAAAUUUUCUGUUUCUUUCUGAAGCUCUAUCCAUUUUGCCUCAUAUAUUUUGAAGCUAUUAUGUUAUUCAGGACAUAAGCAUUUAGCAUGUUUGUGUCUUCUUGACUAAUUGAGCAUUUUAUCAUGGAGAUAUGACCUUGUUUAUAAGUGGGGACUAUUUUUUGUUGUAAAGUCUACUUUGGUAUUAAACAGCCACUCCGGCUCAGCUUUAUUCUGUCAAGUGUUGACAUUAGUCCUAUUCAACUUUUAUUUUUAUUUAUUUAUUUAUUUAUUUAUUUUUGAGGCGGAGUUUCGCUCUUGUUACCCAGGCCGGAGUGCAAUGGCGUGAUCUUGGCUCACCGCAAUCUCCGCCUCCUGAAUUCAGGCAAUUCUCCUGUCUCAGCCUCCUGAGUAGCUGGGAUUUCAGGCACGCGCCACCAUGCCCAGCUAAUUUUUUCUAUUUUUAGUAGAGACGGGGUUUCACCAUGUUGACCAGGAUGGUCUCGAUCUUUUGACUUCUUGAUCCACCCGCCUGGCCUCCCAAAGUGCUGGGAUUACAGGCUUGAGCCACCGCGCCCGGCCCCUAUUCAACUUUUAAAUCAAUUAGUAUCUUUACAUGUAAAGUGCAUUUCUUGUAGGCAGCAUGUAAUUGAGUCUUGCUUUUUAGUUGAGCUCUAGAGUUCACAUUUUGAUUGAGGUUUUCAGACUAGUGAAAACCCAAAUAUCCCACGAUUAAAAGCAGAAACACAUUUGCUAUAGAAAUAAACUCUGUGCUAUUGGGAAAUAGCUACUUUGC